UGUUCUUAAAUGCAUAAUAACUAAAUUCUCUAAAACAACAACAUUUCUCCAAGACAAAACAUCGAGUCAUUUACUCAGGGAAUGAUGAAUAAAGUCAAAGUGAUGAUAUCGAUGUUUAUUAUUUUGAUGAUGACUCAGCAAAGCCUUGGAGGACGUUCUAUAAGUUUCCCUGACGAAUGUGAGGGGGUUUCUUGCAGAAAAUUUACUACAGCUUUAAAAGGAGGAACAUGUUAUGCUGACUGCCACAAAUGUAACAAUAAAUGUUGCAAACAAGUUGGAGUUUGUCGAUAUUGUUAUUCAACUUUCAUGCGUAUGCAAAAAGUUCCUGAAAAAAAUUGCUUAUACAAGCGAGAAAGAUUUUACAGGAAAAGAAACCUUGUCUCCUUUUAACUUACUUAGCAGCUAAUACAAACGUCUUUUAGUUCUUGCAUUUAAUUUAUGAUAGAAAAUUACUGCAAUUAAUUAAAUUUAGAUUAUGCUAAUUUCUAUAGUUUAUGACUGUGAAUAAAUAGUAAUUAGUUCGUAUGAGAUCAAAUAAAUCACUGUGCAAAUGUCGAAUAA